rnacentral:snoRNA from 1 species
AAGCCCGUGUUCUCAGGGAUCAUCUCUAUAGUUUGUUACUAGAGAAGUUUCUCUGAUCAUGUAGAGUACCCGAAACCACAAGAAGGGGCCAGAGCAUGCUCUCCUGAGUGUGAAGCUGGUUUUAGGUAUUAAUUACUUUUGCCACUGCCUUUUACCAGUAAUGAUUGUUCUUCUCUUCCGCUGGAAGAGGAAGAGGGAGAGGAUGCAGUCUGUUAG